CGCCCACACCCCGCUAACCUGCACUGUCUGCUAACCCGGAAGCUCACUGCUCUGAGCAAAGGUCUCCACGAUCCUCCUGCGGGGCAAUUGGAGAAUCCUCCAAGUGGUGAAGUAGAUGUGGAAGCCGAGGUUAUGUCACCUGUCUUUAUCUGAGACAGAAAUGCUCCUCAUGAUGACUCACUGGAGAUAAUUCAUCUGGACAAAACAGAUGAAGAGGUCUCAUGUGGUGACAAG